rnacentral:rRNA from 1 species
AUGAUACGCGAGGAACCUUACCUGGCUUAAAUGUAGAGUGCAUUUUUAGUAGAUAGAAAUUCCCUUCGGGGCUUUCUGCAAGGUGCUGCAUGGUUGUCGUCAGCUCGUGCCGUGAGGUGUCGGGUUAAGUCCCAUAACGAGCGCAACCCUUAUCGUUAGUUGCCAGCUGGUAAAGCAGGGGACUCUAGCGAAACUGCCACCGUAAGGUGAGAGGAAGUGGGAUGACGUCAAAUCAGCACGGCCCUUAUGUCCAGGGCUACACACGUGUUACAAUGGCCGGCACAGAGGGCAGCUACCUGGUGACAGGAUGCUAAUCUCGAAAACCGGUCUCAGUUCGGAUCGAAGUCUGCAACUCGACUUCGUGAAGCUGGAUUCGCUAGUAAUCGCGCAUCAGCCAUGGCGCGGUGAAUACGUUCCCGGGUCUU